ensembl:misc_RNA Metazoa_SRP Metazoan signal recognition particle RNA
GCCGGGCGUGGUGGCGUGCUCCUGUAAUCCCAGGUACUUGGGAGGCUGAGGCAGGAGAAUUGCUUGAACCUGGGAGGCGGAGGUUGCAGUGAGUCGAGAUUUCGCCACUGCAUUCCAGCCUGGGUGACAGAGUGAGACUCUGCCUCUA